AUGGCGCCGACGUACCGGCCUUACGCGGCGGAGUACGGGGCGGUGGAGCGGAAGGUGCCGGGGGCGCGGUGGGUGGCGUCGGCGGCGGCGGCGUCGUCGGUGGCGUGGUUCGUGGGGGACCAGGCGGAGAUGAAGCGGCGGGGGAGGGUGGCCAGCUACAAGGCCUACGCCGUGGAGGGCAAGGUGAAGGCGUCCCUCCGCCGGGGCCUCCGCUGGAUCAAGGCCAAGUGCUCCCACAUCGUCCACCGCUAG
rnacentral:rRNA from 1 species